GUGCCAGGCCCUGUGCUGGGGACGGAUGAUGAGGAUGACCGUCCUGCCCUGAGAAGCCCAUGGACUCCUCCCAGCCUUCAGGCUCUAAGAUGGGCGCUUCCAGAGAAGAAAGGGACUGGUGGCCCUUUGCUCCUUUGAACUGCCUUUGCCUGCCUGGGGAUAAGGCCCAAUUGUCCAUAGAGCCCCAAGUUCUCCAAAAUGAGGGAGAGUCAAUCCAGUUCAUAUUAUCCAUCUUGGCUGGAAACAGAAAUCGGGCAUGUGGUUUUUCCUGCAGACAUCAAAGGGCAGAGCAGACACCUCUGUCUGUCCCUUUCAGGACUGGACAAGGGAAUCAUCUCAAAUCUCCACUUAGUCUCCAGCCCU